rnacentral:lncRNA from 1 species
CCACCCCGAUGGGAGCGUGGUGUUGGUUCGCUCCUGACCGGCGGCAGCACCCCCGGGCCCCCCCCCCGAGCUCGCCGUGCCCAGCCCUGCGGGAUGCCGCCGGGAUACCGCCGGGAUAUAGGGACAAUUCAGCCCUGUGACCCCACCGACCCCAAACUCACCUCUUCGGGAGGCGCCGGGAGGAGCAGCGCGGUGCUGUGCGGUGUUACAGGGCCGGGGAUGAAGGCUGAGGAUGACUCAUCCCCACUCAGGGAAGAAACGCUCGGCUUUGACUCAGCAGCACUCAGAGCGAAAGCCGUCCCCGCUGCGUUGUUCUGCCAGAACUUCAGCCCUGCAGCUCUUGGCCCACCCCGUGCCUCAGUUUCCCCUCUUGCGACGCGCAGCAGUGCCACCCCCCACCCCCAGUCCCCCCUCAGGACCUGCGGGACAAAACAGGGCGAUGGGGGCAUUGGCAGCAGUGAUGGUGAUGAAGACCAUCAGUCAGGAGGAGCUGCAGGAGCGGCAGCUCUCGGCUCACUGCAACCACACCAACAUCCCUGGAGGUGGGCAUUGGGGUGCGGGGGGGCUUUGGUGCUGCAGGAACCACUGCAGGCAGAGGGGUAGCAAAGUGAAUACAAGC